rnacentral:misc_RNA from 1 species
CAGAGUUCGUGCCCUCACGGGUAGAUCUCCCACCCUGUGUUAUUAUACCUUUGUUGCUUUGGCGGGCCGCCCUCGGCUACCGGCCCCGGCUGGUACGCGCCCGCCGGAGGACCCCAAACCAUUGUGUAUCAAUUGAAUCUUCUGAGUGGCACAAGCAAAUAAAUCA